GGAGGUUUCGGAUGAUCUAAGCCAUGCGAGUCAUUGUAGUAUACAAGGCAGACGGCUCAGUAACGCGUACUCUUCUAACCUAUGGACGGGAAUAACCUCGGGAAACUGAUCAUAAUGCCCGAUAGAACAUUAUGCCUGGAAUGGUUUAUGUUCCAAAUGAUUCAUCGCCGUAGGAUGGGACUGCGGCCUAUCAGUUUGUUGGUGAGGUAAUGGCCCACCAAGAUUAUUACAGAUACUGCCUCUGAGAGGAGUGGCCCGGAGAUGAGUACUGAGACACGCACCCAGGCCCUAUGGGGCGCAGCAAGCGAGAAAACUUUGCAAUGUGCGAAAGCACGACAAGGUUAAUCCGAGUGUUUUCUGCUAAAGGAACCUUUUGUCGGUCCUAGACCCACCGAUGAAUAAGGAGUGGUCGAGUUCAGGUGUCAGCCGCCGCGGUAAAACCAGCAGCUCCAGUUGCUCAUGAUAGAUUAUUGGGCCUAAAGUAUCCGAAGCCCGCUCUGAUAGGUUUGCGAUAGAUAUGUACGCUCUGCCUGCCAGCUGUCGCGAAUUCCUGAACAUCUCUCUAUCGGCAGAUGUUGACGUUUCUCCGGAGGAAGGGGCCGAAUUCCUUGAUCUAUUGAUGACCACCUGUGUGGCAGGUGGUCUCCCACUACACGUCCGACGGUGACGGAGUGACGGUGGCGUAUACAACCGGAGUAGAUACCCUGGUAGCCCCCGCUCUAGACAAUGCUACUUCCGCGAUGUAUUGUUUUGUGUCCAAUGCAUUGCUGCAGUAAUCCGUUAAGUUCUGCGCUGGGG
rnacentral:rRNA from 1 species